AAUGGGUCAGCGACUUAUAUUCUGUAGCAAGGUUAACCGUAUAGGGGAGCCGGAGGGAAACCGAGUCUUAACCGGGCGUUAAGUUGCAGGGUAUAGACCCGAAACCCGGUGAUCUAGCCAUGGGCAGGUUGAAGGUUGGGUAACACUAACUGGAGGACCGAACCGACUAAUGUUGAAAAAUUAGCGGAUGACCUGUGGCUGGGGGUGAAAGGCCAAUCAAACCGGGAGAUAGCUGGUUCUCCCCGAAAGCUAUUUAGGUAGCGCCUCGUGAAUUCAUCUCCGGGGGUAGAGCACUGUUUCGGCUAGGGGGCCAUCCCGGCUUACCAACCCGAUGCAAACUGCGAAUACCGGAGAAUGUUAUCACGGGAGACACACGGCGGGUGCUAACGUCCGUCGUGAAGAGGGAAACAACCCAGACCGCCAGCUAAGGUCCCAAAGUCAUGGUUAAGUGGGAAACGAUGUGGGAAGGCCCAGACAGCCAGGAUGUUGGCUUAGAAGCAGCCAUCAUUUAAAGAAAGCGUAAUAGCUCACUGGUCGAGUCGGCCUGCGCGGAAGAUGUAACGGGGCUAAACCAUGCACCGAAGCUGCGGCAGCGACGCUGAUGCGUUGUUGGGUAGGGGAGCGUUCUGUAAGCCUGCGAAGGUGGCCUGUGAGGGUUGCUGGAGGUAUCAGAAGUGCGAAUGCUGACAUAAGUAACGAUAAAGCGGGUGAAAAGCCCGCUCGCCGGAAGACCAAGGGUUCCUGUCCAACGUUAAUCGGGGCAGGGUGAGUCGACCCCUAAGGCGAGGCCGAAAGGCGUAGUCGAUGGGAAACGGGUUAAUAUUCCCGUACUUGGUGUUACUGCGAAGGGGGGACGGAGAAGGCUAUGUUGGCCGGGCGACGGUUGUCCCGGUUUAAGCGUGUAGGUGUGUGUUCCAGGUAAAUCCGGUUCACUUUAACACUGAGGCGUGAUGACGAGGCACUACGGUGCUGAAGCAACAAAUGCCCUGCUUCCAGGAAAAGCCUCUAAGCAUCAGGUAACAUCAAAUCGUACCCCAAACCGACACAGGUGGUCAGGUAGAGAAUACCAAGGCGCUUGAGAGAACUCGGGUGAAGGAACUAGGCAAAAUGGUGCCGUAACUUCGGGAGAAGGCACGCUGACACGUAGGUGAAGUGAUUUACUCAUGGAGCUGAAGUCAGUCGAAGAUACCAGCUGGCUGCAACUGUUUAUUAAAAACACAGCACUGUGCAAACACGAAAGUGGACGUAUACGGUGUGACGCCUGCCCGGUGCCGGAAGGUUAAUUGAUGGGGUCAGCGCAAGCGAAGCUCCUGAUCGAAGCCCCGGUAAACGGCGGCCGUAACUAUAACGGUCCUAAGGUAGCGAAAUUCCUUGUCGGGUAAGUUCCGACCUGCACGAAUGGCGUAAUGAUGGCCAGGCUGUCUCCACCCGAGACUCAGUGAAAUUGAACUCGCUGUGAAGAUGCAGUGUACCCGCGGCAAGACGGAAAGACCCCGUGAACCUUUACUAUAGCUUGACACUGAACAUUGAGCCUUGAUGUGUAGGAUAGGUGGGAGGCUUUGAAGUGUGGACGCCAGUCUGCAUGGAGCCGACCUUGAAAUACCACCCUUUAAUGUUUGAUGUUCUAACGUGGACCCGUGAUCCGGGUUGCGGACAGUGUCUGGUGGGUAGUUUGACUGGGGCGGUCUCCUCCUAAAGAGUAACGGAGGAGCACGAAGGUUGGCUAAUCCUGGUCGGACAUCAGGAGGUUAGUGCAAUGGCAUAAGCCAGCUUGACUGCGAGCGUGACGGCGCGAGCAGGUGCGAAAGCAGGUCAUAGUGAUCCGGUGGUUCUGAAUGGAAGGGCCAUCGCUCAACGGAUAAAAGGUACUCCGGGGAUAACAGGCUGAUACCGCCCAAGAGUUCAUAUCGACGGCGGUGUUUGGCACCUCGAUGUCGGCUCAUCACAUCCUGGGGCUGAAGUAGGUCCCAAGGGUAUGGCUGUUCGCCAUUUAAAGUGGUACGCGAGCUGGGUUUAGAACGUCGUGAGACAGUUCGGUCCCUAUCUGCCGUGGGCGCUGGAGAACUGAGGGGGGCUGCUCCUAGUACGAGAGGACCGGAGUGGACGCAUCACUGGUGUUCGGGUUGUCAUGCCAAUGGCACUGCCCGGUAGCUAAAUGCGGAAGAGAUAAGUGCUGAAAGCAUCUAAGCACGAAACUUGCCCCGAGAUGAGUUCUCCCUGAGACUUUAGGUCUCCUGAAGGAACGUUGAAGACGACGACGUUGAUAGGCCGGGUGUGUAAGCGCAGCGAUGCGUUGAGCUAACCGGUACUAAUGAACCGUGAGGCUUAACCUU
rnacentral:rRNA from 1 species